rnacentral:lncRNA from 1 species
GGCUCCAUAAUGGAAUCAAGAAGUCAUGGAAUCCUACGCUUGGAAGUUUGGAGGGCAUUGGUCCAACUUCCCACUGAACCCAGAGUUCCGAAGAUGGGCAGAUGAUCAGAAGGGGCGAUUUUCAGGACUUGCAGAUUCAAGGAAGGUCCCCAGUUCCUCUGGGAAUCAUCCUGUACACAACAUCUUCACAAGGGUGGCAGACAGUUGGAUCUCUGGCCUUCGUGGGACCACUGGACAUCUGGCAGAGAACCAGAAAACCACUCUUCCUUUCUGUGAGUCUACUCAGUCAGAAAACUACAAGAUGUGUGGCUGUGGGAUGAGGCUUUUAGAAAGGUGAAGUAGAACACUUUGAGAAAGUGUUUGGGAAGAAACUGGCUGAUGUUGAAAGGAAAUUUGACCAUUCACAGAUUUCUUUUCCUACAUAGAGAAACACAAAAGCUUACAUGUACACAGGCAAAAAAAAAAAAAAAAAAAAAAAAAAAAAAAAUUAAUUCAUUUUUCUUUCUUGACUUCCUUUCUUCUCCAGCUUUUUUUUUCCUUUUUCUUUUAUACCUGGUUAACAGUAAUUCCCAUUUUUAACCAAGGAGUGGUAAAACUGACACUGUGAUAUUGCUGUGCUAGGAUAUAUUAGCAAAACCCGUUUGGAAAUUGAUUUGCAAUAUGUAUCAAGGGCCAUAAAAAUGUAUGAGAAUGAUCUGAUAAUAAGGAAACAGGAUAUGC